rnacentral:rRNA from 1 species
UCCGUAGGUGGAUAAUUAAGUCAGAGGUGAAAUCCUGCAGCUCAACUGUAGAAUUGCCUUUGAUACUGGUUAUCUUGAGUCAUUAUGAAGUGGUUAGAAUGUGUAGUGUAGCGGUGAAAUGCAUAGAUAUUACACAGAAUACCGAUUGCGAAGGCAGAUCACUAAUAAUGUACUGACACUGAGGGACGAAAGCGUGGGAGCAAACAGGAUUAGAUACCCUGGUAGUC